rnacentral:rRNA from 1 species
CCUACGGGAGGCAGCAGUGGGGAAUAUUGGGCAAUGGAGGCACCUCUGACCCAGCAACGCCGCGUGAAUGAUGAAGGUCUUCGGAUUGUAAAGUUCUGUGAUGGGGGAAGAACACAAUGACGGUACCACAAUAGCAAGCCACGCCUAACUACGUGCCAGCAGCCGCGGGAAUACGUAUGUGGCAAGCGUUAUCCGGAAUGACUGGGCGUAAAGGGUGCGUAGGUGGUUUAGUAAGUUGGCGGUGUAAUUACAGGGCUCAACCUCGGCGCUACCGCCAAAACUAUUAGACUAGAGUGCAGGAGAGGUAUGUGGAAUGCCUAGUGUAGCGGUGGAAUGCGUAGAUAUUAGGAGGAACAUCAGGGGCGAAGGCGACUUACUGGAUUGUAACUGACACUGAGGCACGAAAGCGUGGGUAGCAAACAGGAUUAGAUACCCUUGUAGUC